rnacentral:tRNA from 1 species
GGGGGUAUAGGCUAACCUGGUAGACUGGCGGGCUCCAGUUAUAGAGCGUGAUUAGAAAUGGGUUUGCUGACAGUUGAUGAAUAACUGGAGCGAUGACUCAUAAUUUCGCGGAGGGUAGCUCCCUCUGUGGUGGAAACCCGCUGACGGGAGUUCAAAUCUCCCUGCCCCCA